UCAGCAAAUUUGAAGAUUAACCCACACCCAUCAACACUUCUAUCAAUACCCCGAGUGGUUUCAAUUACAGACGACGACGACGACUUCAGGCGGCUGGCUGGCGAGGUCGUCGGAGAGGUUUCUCUUGAAGGUCAAGAUUCUUUCAAAUCAAUACCACGAAGAUUUUCCGAAUCUCUCACUCUGAGAUUGAAAAUUUUAAGAGAGAUUAGGAACCAAAUCCUCUCCUUUGAGCUUUUUCGCACCGGCCACCACUAG